AAGCCAAGCUUGCUUGGUGGAUCAGUGGCGAACGGGUGAGUAACACGUGAGCAACCUGCCCUGGACUCUGGGAUAAGCGCUGGAAACGGCGUCUAAUACUGGAUAUGAGCCUUCAUCGCAUGGUGGGGGCUGGAAAGAUUUUUUGGUCUGGGAUGGGCUCGCGGCCUAUCAGCUUGUUGGUGAGGUAAUGGCUCACCAAGGCGUCGACGGGUAGCCGGCCUGAGAGGGUGACCGGCCACACUGGGACUGAGACACGGCCCAGACUCCUACGGGAGGCAGCAGUGGGGAAUAUUGCACAAUGGGCGAAAGCCUGAUGCAGCAACGCCGCGUGAGGGAUGACGGCCUUCGGGUUGUAAACCUCUUUUAGCAGGGAAGAAGCGAAAGUGACGGUACCUGCAGAAAAAGCGCCGGCUAACUACGUGCCAGCAGCCGCGGUAAUACGUAGGGCGCAAGCGUUAUCCGGAAUUAUUGGGCGUAAAGAGCUCGUAGGCGGUUUGUCGCGUCUGCUGUGAAAUCCCGAGGCUCAACCUCGGGCCUGCAGUGGGUACGGGCAGACUAGAGUGCGGUAGGGGAGAUUGGAAUUCCUGGUGUAGCGGUGGAAUGCGCAGAUAUCAGGAGGAACACCGAUGGCGAAGGCAGAUCUCUGGGCCGUAACUGACGCUGAGGAGCGAAAGGGUGGGGAGCAAACAGGCUUAGAUACCCUGGUAGUCCACCCCGUAAACGUUGGGAACUAGUUGUGGGGACCAUUCCACGGUUUCCGUGACGCAGCUAACGCAUUAAGUUCCCCGCCUGGGGGAGUACGGCCGCAAGGCUAAAACUCAAAGGAAUUGACGGGGGACCCGCACAAGCGGCGGAGCAUGCGGGAUUAAUUCGAUGCAACGC
rnacentral:rRNA from 1 species